rnacentral:rRNA from 1 species
UACGUAGGGUGCAAGCGUUACUCGGAAUUACUGGGCGUAAAGCGUGCGCAGGCGGUUAUGUAAGACAGAUGUGAAAUCCCCGGGCUCAACCUGGGAACUGCAUUUGUGACUGCAUAGCUAGAGUACGGUAGAGGGGGAUGGAAUUCCGCGUGUAGCAGUGAAAUGCGUAGAUAUGCGGAGGAACACCGAUGGCGAAGGCAAUCCCCUGGACCUGUACUGACGCUCAUGCACGAAAGCGUGGGGAGCAAACAGG